rnacentral:rRNA from 1 species
UACGUAGGCAGCGAGCGUUGUUCGGAGUUACUGGGCGUAAAGGGUGUGUAGGCGGUUGUUUAAGUUUGGUGUGAAAUCUCCCGGCUCAACUGGGAGGGUGCGCCGAAUACUGAAUGACUUGGAGUGCGGGAGAGGUGAGUGGAAUUCCUAGUGUAGCGGUGAAAUGCGCAGAUAUUAGGAGGAACACCGGUGGCGAAGGCGCCGCUCUGGGCCGAAACUGACGCUGAGGAGCGAAAGCAUGGGUAGCAAACAGG